CCACUAUAGCCCGAAUAAUGUUGUAUUACUCUUCAAGACAAAGAGUAAGCCAUCUUCAACGAGAGUUGUCACUACCGAUUUGAGCCGCAGGCUGCUGUUUCAACAAUGCGGAAGGUUGAUCGACCCCCAACCAAUCCGAAGCGUUUAAUCAUUGAGUCAAGUCAAGAAUGUUUCAGUGUUGACAUUCCAUGCUCGACUGACAUGGCAGACCCUACAAAUACGUCGUCUGAUGGUGAUCCUCCACAGCAUAGAAAGACGGGCGUUGCAGCUGCUGCUGAAAACAUUACUAUGCCUAAUGUGGAUGAUGAUGAUGACUUUGAGCCACCCAAAAAGAAGUGCAAUAUCUCAAUGGAUGCCCCAAAUAAGACGCAGCUGUAUUAUUUGGAUCAUUUGCAUCAUGCUGCUGCUCCAAACAACAAAAAUGGCACUCCACGCAUAAAGUAUUUUAAUAAGAAUAUUAUAAGGGCAUUGUCAAUGGCCGAUAAGCGGAAGCCUCGCCAGGGUGGUGAACCAUUUGGUGUUUGCCCUUUUCGUAGCAGCAGUGAGACAUGUUACGUCUAAAAAUCGCCAACUACUUGCCAGAUUGAGUUUCCUAUGAGGCCAGAAACUUUUGAUGAAGACCCAAAUCAACAUGAUCGACUUCCCAAUAUAAUCAUCCAACUCCCUCUUAUGCAAGACUUGAUGGCAAAUAAGAUUCAGAUGCUUCCUGUACAUCAACGCCAGAAGUUCCAAGCUACGUUGAUUGAUUAUGACUUAGAGGUUGGCAAAAUAUUUGCCUCUAUCAAGCAAUGUUUGAAUACUAUUGGUACAAAGCAGUCCAAUCUAGCUGCUACAUUUGGAGAAUUGAUUGAUGAGGUUCUUCGGGCCGAUGAAUCUGUUACACCAAAUACUACAGUGGUAGGUGGCACAGUUGAAAAUGAUUCUGGACCAGUAUUUGACAAGACUCCUAUUGGGAGUGUUUCUGCACCAGGUCUCUUCUUAUCUGAAUUAGAAUGUGCUCGCGCUCUUCGGGCAUACUUGUGUUCUAGGUUCAUUGAAUUGGACAGAAAUAUAAUUGACUUUGGUGAACAUCGCGCCAAUUGUUGUGACAUACAACAAUCUUUUGCUGAUGGCGCAUGUCUCGACAACGUGUUUAUGCAAUGUUUCAUUGAGUGUGUCCGUGAUGACUGGUCUAAACAUAUUCCUCCACUCAAUGCUCACCAGCUCAUUCUAGAUGUUAAUGUUGGGGCUAUAUUGAACUUUGAGGAGCAGGAGCAACAUAGUAAGUCUCCUCGUCCAUUUGACCCUUCAGUUUUGGAGAGUUACCUAUUGAGACACUGCCUUCUUUCAAGCAGCUGGAUGACUACAAAUCAAUAAUGGUACCCAUGCUACGAUCUGGACAUUGGACAUUGUAUGUUGUUAAUCUUCAGAUUGGACGCAUACAUGUGUUAGAUUCCAACCCUUAUGGACCAGAGAUGGGUGGGACUAUCUGGAAAAAUUACCAUUGUAUACCUAUGGAUUUGGGUGAUAGGAAGGUUUCAUGGGCCAGGUUAAUGAUGAGUAGGCUCAAUCUAGCUAUUCAAAAUGCUCGACCAAGAUCAGCUCUCCCUGCUUUUUUGAAGUACCCUAUUGAACUCAUGAAUAACUGCCCAACAAUGAAAUUGGGGUCUAAUGAUUGUGGAUUCUUUGUCAUGAGAUAUAUGCAGAACUACGACUACAUGGUUGGAGCUAUGAAUGCAGUCAUUGAUCCGGAUUAUUCAGAGGACAUUCGCUCUCUUGUACUGCAUUACCUAAUAUUCCAUCGACUAAAUAGAAACAGCUUCGUGGUCUCCCACCUGGACAGAUUCAAGUUCUCUCAGUAGUAGCCUAGUAUAGUUUACUAUCUUAAUAUUAGUAUGAACAUCAUGGUCUGAUGGCUUUUGGUGGUUUCAAGUUAUCUCAGUUCUAGCUUAGUUUAGGGUAGUGUCACUGAAUGGUGUUCAUGUAAAUAUUGGUCUGUUGGCUUAUGUUAGGAUUCAGAUAAUACUUAUGUCCAUAUGCAGCUCUUAGCAAACUCUUAUAUACAUCGUACCAGAUAUGUUUUAGAUGGUUAUAUUUAUAUAUGAUAGUUCUGCACUUUA